AGAAUGCUAAAGGAGGUGGAAUAUAUAUCAUCUAGCUUUCUCUCCUUCUUUUAGGGAUAAAUAAUUGCCUUCUGAAGUUGAUUUAAUCCCCUACUUAAGGUAGGCUUAAAUAGGCUUUGGUGGCAAUUUAUUUCCCUUUCUUGGAAGAAUCUAAUUCUAAGUCAAAGUGAGAAUCUGUAUCAAAGUUGGAGAUCUCUACACCUAUUGCCAUUUCCUACGAGUAGCCUAGUAGGUGGAGGCAUUUAUGGAGCCAAAAAUAAUCCAAAAAAAUCAUGGAGGUGAAAAGUGGACUUUUGGGUAAAAAAAGACAAGAUUACCCUCGAAGCACACCGGGAUUCCAACGCGCAUGCAACAGACAAUAACGGCUCAAUCAAGGAAGAGUCAAGGUGAUCCAUAUGGUAUUUAUUCAAAUCCCUCUCAUCACUCUUCACCAAUCUCUUAUUGAUUUUAUUUAAAAGUUAACUCCCGAAACUUGUUAUUUAAUUUAGGAAUAAUUGCCAUGUUAAUUGCAAGAUAUUAUUUCACAUAAUAUCUUGCAAUUAUUC
rnacentral:lncRNA from 1 species